rnacentral:lncRNA from 1 species
AAAUGUUUUGCAGAGGAUUUCCUGUUGUUGUGAAGAUUGCCAUUAGAUUGACUCUAGACGGGACUCGAGUUCGUGCCGCGUUACGCUACGGUGCGUUAGCCUCAAAUUUGUUCCCUGUCAUUUCUCGGUAAAGUGCUGUCCCUCCAUGGAUUCACUCAAGUAUUUGAGCUGAAGUAGAAUAAUCGAAAGGAACAUAGUUGUCGGCAUCUGUAGUAGAUGUGCAGCGUCUAAAUCUGAGAAAGAGAGAUAGUGUUAUUUUAGUCUAAUACGGCGGAACUGCAUUGAUUAUGCAGAGUGGAGCCUUUUUUCUCGCUUGCAAAUAAAAUAAUGGGAGAGAAAUGAGAAGGAAAACAAAAGCGCAGCGAAUUUUUGACUACGAAAAUGAAGAGGAUGAGGAAGAGGAACAAAAAGCGGACUGCUUCAGCAACGGUGCACAGAAACGAAGAAAAAUGUUUUCCUCCAAAGAAAAAGCAGAAGAAAAUAGCUCAUCCGACGCCGGGCUUCAGAAGUUAACGUUAGACAUGAAGUUUAUCACUCCUGAACUUUUGGAGAGGUGUAACACAGGCACCACUGCCCAAAAACUGACCAACGACCUUCUCCGUGGACUCUACGAGAGGGAAUGCCUGGCUUCCCACUCCAUAUCUGGAGUCGUAUACAACAAAAGAGGCCAGCCAAAGCCUGCUCUGCCCACCGAAGAGGUCCAGGCAAUCCUGAGAACUGUUCAGUAUUUCUUUCCUGGCAAGACUGACGUAGAGAUCAAGGGCUACAUCCGACAGAAACUGCAAAACGAAGCCAAGAGGCUGAGGAAGAAACCGUCACUCUCAGGCCAAUACGAGUCUAGAGGUCUCAAUCUACCGUUAGAUGUGAUCGACCAAAAUUGAAACAUACAGUUAGUGGAUAUCAAUUGUGUGUUCUCCAUUAAAUUAGCCUUAUUCGGUGUUAGUUACAUUUAAGAGUCCUGGACUCAAGUGAAAUUGAUGUGCAUUGACAAUAGUCUUCAAAGAAAGUCACAAUGAUCUCUUGCGGCAGUCUUUUGGCUGUUGGCGGUUGUGGCGUUACUGAUGUGAAAAUGCAAAUUAGCGAUUCCAGAUAAGUCCAAAUGUUGCAUUCAUGAAGGGCUUUGGCUGAAACGAGCACAGUCGACGCUUAGAUAUCGAGAUGUUUAGAUAUUAAUGAUGUAUUCCUGUGAACGUCUGGUUUUUUUUAUACUUUGUAUUUAACAGAUGUAGGACUUCAGGACGUACCAUUGUGCGAGAAGUGUAAUAGGCUGUGACUAUUAUUUACAUUGUAUAUUUUCAAUGUAUUUCUUAUUUGACGAUGUUCUUUGGUCUAUAUGACAACAGUUUUAUGUAUGUAGUUUUUUGUUAUUAAAUGCUGAAAACGCAUGUGUGCUU